AUUGAACGCUGGCGGAAUGCUUUACACAUGCAAGUUGAACGGCAGCACGGACUUCGGUCUGGUGGCGAGUGGCGUACGGGUGAGUAACGUAUCGGAACGCGUCCAGCCGUGGGGGAUAAAGUAGGGCAUAUUACGCUAAUACCGAAUAUGAUCUACGGACGAAAGCGGGGGAUCGAAAGAAGUAGCCCGAGUGGCGUGGCCUAUAUCCGAUUAGGUAGUUGGUGGGGUAAAGGCCCACCAAGACAACGAUCUGUAGCUGGUCUGAGAGGACGACCAGCCACACUGGAACUGAGACACGGUCCAGACUCCUACGGGAGGCAGCAGUGGGGAAUUUUGGACAAUGGGCGAAAGCCUGAUCCAGCCAUUCCGCGUGCAGGAUGAAGGCCCUCGUGUUGUAAACUGCUUUUGUACAGAACGAAAAGGUUUCUACUAAUACUAGGAGCUCAUGACGGGACUGUAAGAAUAAGCACCGGCUAACUACGUGCCAGCCGCCGCCGUAA
rnacentral:rRNA from 1 species